rnacentral:rRNA from 1 species
AUUGAACGCUGGCGGCAUGCUUUACACAUGCAAGUCGAACGGUAACAGGCCUUCGGGUGCUGACGAGUGGCGAACGGGUGCGUAAUGCAUCGGAACGUGCCCAGAGGUGGGGGAUAACGCAGCGAAAGCUGUGCUAAUACCGCAUGUGAUCUGAGGAUGAAAGCGGGGGACCAAGCAGCAAUGUUUGGCCUCGCGCCUCUGGAGCGGCCGAUGUCAGAUUAGGUAGUUGGUGGGGUAAAGGCCUACCAAGCCGACGAUCUGUAGCUGGUCUGAGAGGACGACCAGCCACACUGGGACUGAGACACGGCCCAGACUCCUACGGGAGGCAGCAGUGGGGAAUUUUGGACAAUGGGCGCAAGCCUGAUCCAGCAAUGCCGCGUGCGGGAAGAAGGCCCUCGGGUUGUAAACCGCUUUUGUACGGAACGAAAAGGCUCUGGCUAAUACCUGGGGCUGAUGACGGUACCGUAAGAAUAAGCACCGGCUAACUACGUG